rnacentral:lncRNA from 1 species
UCAACUUGAACAACGCCUUUUAUUUUGGCAUCUUUGAAAACUACUCCAUGAACGGCAGUUUCAGACUGAAGAAUGACGAGAAAUGUAAGGAUUCAGGAUGGAUGUUAGCCCCUCGAGCUCAGCCAGAGGAGGGAGGACAGAGGACACACAGGGCUGCAUGACAGGAAGUAUGUUGAUCGAUUGGCAACAUAAUCCAUUGGGCAUGGUUCGGACAUCAUUUGGAUUAAUGUUAUCCUCUGCUCAUUGAUCAAACGGUAAUAGACUUUUUCCCACAGGUGGAUUUCCGCUGCCUCUCCUGUGCUGACCCUGUGCAACCCUCUGUAUCUUCCUCCCCCUCUGUUUUUCUUCCCUUGCAGUUUUGGUUUGUGAGUUUGCGUCUCUGAGAAUCAUUCAACACGUUCUGUGGAGCAGAAGAACAAAACAAAAGCUCACCCAUAGUUGCACAAUUUUUACACACAGCACACUUGGAGGGGAAUGCAAAGACCUCAGGCCGACAGAACAACAACAACAAAAAGACAAAAAGGAAAGAAAAGCAGGUUUGUGUUUGGGAGAAACAUCUGAGCUCAGCUGCAGAGACAGGAGAGGCAUCAAAACAAACCAGCUUGUUCUCCACAGGCAAACGUUGUAUACACUGCUGUACAUGCUAACUCAAUAUUAUCCUCAAACAUGAUUUUUUUUUGCCCUUUUCAUAGAAAAACACACACUGAUGUACAUAAUACAAAAUUUUCUCCUUUUUGCAAAAGAGCAGUUUCUCUUUAGUCAGUGCGUACCCUCUGAUGCUCACAGACGUGGUUAUGUAUACAGUAUUUACAUAUACAACCGUAUAAAAAUCUGUAUUUCUCUUGUGUACAUGUAUUCAAAAAUCAAACACAUCAGAUCGGUUCAUUUUGUUGUGAAAUAUUUCUUAAAGUCCUUUAAUAUACAGCAACAGAGAAGCUAAGAGGCAGCAAGGAGGCUGGAACACCUGACUCUUCAAAAGGAUCAGACGCUUAAAAUAUUCAAACCGAAGCAAAUAAAUGCUGUGAAAUGCUGUGAGUGUUUAUCACAAGCUGCUCGGCAGAAAGAUUGAAUUUCUGCCACAUGAUCUGCACAAAUUACUGAUUAACUCAUUGCAUCUUUCAGCUUUCUCUGUUGAAAAUCUGGUGCCUCAAAAUGUAAGAUUUAAAUAUAAAAAUUCCCGAUGUUAUCCAGCAGAUAUUUUCCAGCAUGUCAAAUUUAACGUUCAAUACAGCUUAGGUCCUAAACAUAUGAACCCUUAUUUUUGGUGUAAAACUGCUUUAUUCUGUGUUUUCUUCAAUUUUCUCACCAUUUGCAUUUCUUUUAAGGAGAAAAGGAUCUUUCAGUCAUCGGUUAAACCUCUUUAACACAUGCACUUUUGCAAUUUACCUAAAAAAUUUCUGGAGCACGACCUGUAUUAUCUAUCAAAGUUGCUUGUUCAUGUAUCCCUUUCACAGCCUUCAGUGUUUCCUGUCAUAUUCUGUCAAUAUCGAGAAAAACAGAAUAAAAGCGUGCUGUGACAACCACAGUGUGACGUUAACAACAUGAUGCUGAGUGUAGCGACAGAUAUCUAAAAUAUGACGGAUGUGCAGAAACCUCCACUGCGCUCGUUUUUGAGAAAUUACCUGCUUGCUUGUCAUAAAUUUGCUUGAAUUUUUCCUGUUGCAUUCUCACAUCAGCUCAUCCUGACCUCUUACAGAAGUGUGCAUGUGUGAAUACAGCUUUUGUUACGCUACUGACCGUUCAUUGUUCUUCCCAUGAUGCAAAAGUGCAGAUCCUUUUCAUCCUGGAAAAAUCCAAGACAAAUUCAGGAACCUUUUUACUCACAUUUUGAAUUCUCAAAAACUAAAAUAAAAACGUGUUUCUAAGUUUUGGAUAAUAUAUUCAGUUUAAAAAGGGAAACUGUGUCCAUGUGUUCUCUCUGUACUUGUUUGGAUUUAACCCGACUGUUGGACAUAAAUGUUACGGAGUAUUUCAGCAAAGAAUUGAAGUUUAUGCUCACUUCCCUGAGCCGCAUUUUGACAUUUAUAAACACCAGAUUUGCACUUUUUAAGAUAAUAAAUCUGUUUUUUGAUAAAGAAGCUUGUGAUAAUCAGUGGAGUCAUCAGUGCUAUCAAAAUCCACAGGGUCACUCAGAAACAAUAAUAAAAACACAUGUUUUCACACAGGUUAUUUGAGAAUGAAAACAAAAGAACAUGCACGUCAUCUCAGCCUGAAAACUAAAGUGGUUAUUGGAAAAAAAAAAGAAAAAAAAAGCUCCAUCCUUCAUCAGAGUCAGGUGUUGCUGCAGUCAGAUGUGGCUGAAGGUCUUUGCAUUCACACAGAGGGAGACGUUUGUGGAUGGGAUGGAAGUGAACAGAAAUCGGAGAUGUUACUCGUUGAUGCUAAAGAAAGUCUCUGGGAUGUGCUUCUUCUUGCCACGAGUGCAUGGACAUAAGGCACAGGCACAGUUCCCCUCCGUUGCAGAGCGGCUCGCGUUUUUGUUCGUCUGAAUUGGCCUUUUUUUGAAUAAUGCCCCAGAGCUGAAACAGGUAGGGUGAUCACCGAGGUUCAAGCUGCUCAUUUCGCACAAUUGGGUCGAUACAUAGAUCUCGCCGUUUGAAACAAAAGGAUACUGCAGGGUUUGGUUUGGUGAUUUUGGCAGAAAGAGACAUGGUCCAAAUAUAAUUAAGGAUGUUCCUGUAUCAACUCAACAUUUAAACGCUGGCACCAGAAUUAGUGGUGCUUAAUUGUUAAUAAGAUGUUGCUCUAAGUUCUAGCACUAGAGGGGGCUGUAGCUCCUGUUAAAGGCUGCUGCCAUGAUGCUUCAACGCUUUACAACCUGGAUGUAAACAAGCACAGGUGUUGGAUUGCAUCUCACAGCAUGGCUUGCAAUUAUAGUGGAGUCUUCGUAAGAAGCUGAUCCACCUCGACUUAUAUGCCCUUUAAUACAGAAAAAGGUGCAGGAGACAGAGAAUUGGACGCUUUGUAAGUAACUUUUCUCUUAACAACCGAGUCAGAGGUUGUGAAAAAGGAGGCAAACUUUAUCUCUGUUCGAGGUUCAGCAGUUUGUUUACCUAGAAAAUGAAAAAUGAAGUACUGAGUAGACUGCUUCUGGUGCAUAAACACUUAUCCAGAGCAAUGCAUCACCAGGUCAGUCCUUAAGCCCGGUGGUGCUAGCUCUGCUAAGGUUAGCCACACCUGUGUUUUGGCUAACCAGUUUGACAUCAUUUACCUGAGAGUUUCUGAGUGUUUUCUUACCUUCAGAGUUGUUGUCGAGUUAAAAUUUAAAUUUCCAUCUAAACUUCUAGGAAAUGAGUCUCUUUGAAACAUCCCUAAUUAUAAAUACUAAUGAAUAAGUCAAAGUCUGGGGACUGAGUGAACAUUUCAGUUGGUUUACCAGCUGAGAGCCCAAAGUCCAACUAAGGUGAUAAUUUCAUCUUACGACCACAUUUCCUGAACCCUUGUGUAUCCAACAUUGGAAAUGAUUCUAUUGCUAUUUUUAGUCAUUACAUACAAUAUCUGGCUCAUAAUUCAUCUUUCUGAUAGUGUAAAUACUCUUUAUAAUGUCAUGAGCACACAUGAACUGCUGUGUUUCAAAAUCAUUAAAAUAAGGCCUGUUUUGGGGUGGAACAUGUUUAUCUACAUAAUAUAUGUAUUUUAAAACCCAUGGAUUUCAUCUCAAACACAGUUGUGAAAAUGUGGAUUUGCAGUAAAAUAAUUUUAGUGGUUUAUUAACUUUAAUGUAACAUCUUUGGCAUCCAGAAUUUAAAUUAUCACCUUUGUGGGCCUUGGGAGUCUGUGAACCAAACGGUUUCUGUUUUGCAGUCUGGCGUUCAGAUUUUAUUACAUUAUAUAUGUAAAUAUUUAUAUGUAUUAUUAUACAUCGAAGGCCCAAUUCAUGUUAACAAAAAUAUAUUCAGGAGCUUAAAGCA